UACGUAGGGCGCAAGCGUUGUCCGGAUUUAUUGGGCGUAAAGAGCUCGUAGGCGGUUUGUCGCGUCGGAUGUGAAAACCCGGAACUCAACUCCGGGCCUGCAUUCGAUACGGGCAGACUUGAGUACUGCAGGGGAGACUGGAAUUCCUGGUGUAGCGGUGGAAUGCGCAGAUAUCAGGAGGAACACCGGUGGCGAAGGCGGGUCUCUGGGCCUUACCUGACGCUGAGACGCGAAAGCUAGGGGAGCGAACAGG
rnacentral:rRNA from 1 species